CUACGGGGGGCUGCAGUGGGGAAUAUUGCGCAAUGGGGGAAACCCUGACGCAGCAACGCCGUGUGGGUGAAGAAGGCCUUCGGGUCGUAAAGCUCUGUCAGGAGGGAAGAACGUGUUUGCGGUUAAUACUCGUAGGCAUUGACGGUACCUUCAAAGGAAGCGCCGGCUAACUCCGUGCCAGCAGCCGCGGUAAUACGGAGGGCGCAAGCGUUGUUCGGAAUCACUGGGCGUAAAGAGCGUGUAGGCGGAUAGUUAAGUCAGAUGUGAAAGCCCUGGGCUUAACCCAGGAAGUGCAUUUGAUACUGGCAAUCUUGAGGACGGGAGAGGAGAGCGGAAUUCCUAGUGUAGAGGUGAAAUUCGUAGAUAUUAGGAGGAACACCAGCGGCGAAGGCGGCUCUCUGGACCGAUACUGACGCUGAGACGCGAAAGCGUGGGUAGCAAACAGGAUUAGAUACCCGGGUAGUC
rnacentral:rRNA from 1 species